rnacentral:rRNA from 1 species
AUACGUAGGUGGCGAGCGUUGUCCGGAAUUACUGGGCGUAAAGGGUGCGUAGGCGGAUAAUCAAGUCAGAUGUGAAAGUCCAUGGCUCAACUGUGGGAGUGCAUUUGAGACUGAAGAUCUAGAGUGCAGGAGAGGGAGGCGGAAUUCCUAGUGUAGCGGUGAAAUGCGUAGAUAUUAGGAAGAACACCAGUGGCGAAGGCGGCUUUCUGGACUGUAACUGACGCUGAAGCACGAAAGCGUGGGGAGCAAACAGGAUUAGAUACCCUGGUAGUCCACGCUGUAAACGAUGAGUAUUAGGUGUAGGGGACGAUAGUCUUCUGUGCCGGAGCAAACGCAAUAAAUACUCCGCCUGGGGAGUACGGUCACAAGACUAAA